rnacentral:lncRNA from 1 species
UUAAAUAUUAACUGAAUUGCUUUCUUCGAUUAUGUUUUUUUUGUUUGUUUAAUUUUUAAGGUAUAAAGAUUAUGCUUAGUUUCCUCGAACAUUACAGUCUUUCUACUGUGAUGCCAAAAUCUACAUGAUUGGUAAUUCUGGUACUUUAAGCACCUUGAAGUCUAUACCCACCCAUAUGCAUUUCAUUCAAAUUUUGACUUAUUUCGGAGAAGACCAAAAGGACCAUAUUUAUAUUCCCCAGUUACCUUUGGCGUCAUCGGUAAAUUAUGCAAUUGAGCAAAGCAUCAAUCAUCAACCAUCAACCUAACCUUAGACAUUUGCUUUGUUUCUUUUAUCAUGUCUUAAUAGUUAUCAAUAAAAAAUUGAAACGUUUCACAGUUGAUACUUAACAAUUUCUGGACCCCUUUAUUUGUUAAUGACACGCGUACGUAAUAGCUGAUUGUUGGCUGCUUAACGUUCAAGAUAAGCACAAAGUAGCAACACAUACUACAUGUAGGUCCUGGAAGGAGGCCCUCCGGAAUUACGUCAGGGAAGUUUGGACUGCCACUGGAUAAAAUGAGGUAUAUUGAAUAAGGACACAAAUGUUGCCUUUCAACAGGCCAUUUAUGGACCUCUCAAAAAGUUUUUCAAGGGUUCGUAAAGUACACGAGACAUUGGAUCGUAUAUUCCCAUUCGUCCUUUGUCGAUAUUUUAUGUAUACUUCUUAAUAUAAGUCAGACCGUACGCGUACGGUCCGACCGUAUGAGUAUUUUGAAAAAGUACGCAUACGGCCCAGACCGUACGCGUACGGUCCAAAUACUCAUACGGUCUGGAACAUAAUCACUGACUAAUACUUUAGAUACACAUGAUUUACCUCUUAGUUUUAAUUCGCUUUGAAAUAACUAUCAGUUACUACAAUUACUCCUUUGUCGAUAUUUUAUGUAUAUGGUUUUUGUGCCUUGUACCGACAUUUUGAGUUGAGCCAAUUGCAACUGUACAGGUUUUUUUUUAUUGUUUUUUUUAUAAGUUGUGUUGUGCUGUUACACCAGUGUCCCAGGUUAAGGAGAGGGUUGGGGGCUCACAUGUUUAAUCCCGCCGCAUUUUUUUCGUGUCGGUCCUACGUCAUGGGCCUGUAUAACAUAGGUUAUAUAGAUCUGUCAUAUUUUUUUUCUUUGAUAAAUAAUCCAUAAGUUAUAAAUAAAUAACCGUUAGUUUUCUCGUUUUUAUUUUUUCACAUUUUUUUUAUAUUGGUGUCUUUUAUAGCCGACUAUAUGGUAUAGGUUUUCCUCACUGUUAAAUGUUGUACAUUGGACUAUAAUAAUUGCUUUAUUCACCCACUUCAUUUAAACUUUGGUGGAAAGUUGUAUCACUGGCCAUCACACCACAUCUAAAAAGCUUUAUAUGUAUAAAAAAAAAAAAAAAAAAAAAAAAAAAGAAAAAACAAAAAACACCCAUAGAUAAAGCAGUUGGAAUGCCAUCUAAGGCAUUCGGCAAACUAAGUUCAACGAGCUCCUAUGUCUGCUUUCGUCUAUGCGAAUUUGGACCAACAUCAGCAUUUUGAAGAGCC